AAUAUCUUGACUAAAUAAUUUAUAUAACAAUAUGGUUACAAUAAUCAAAGAAUAAUUUAUCAUUAAUCAGUGCACAAAUGUAAUCAAAUUUAUUUUUAAAAUAUAAAUUUAGUAAUAUCAGUAUCAUUCAAAUAUUCAUAUAUAUAAUCAUAUAUUUGAUUUCAAAAUCAAUCAUAUUCUAAAAUUUAAUUGGAAAUAAAUUUCAUUCAACCCAUCAGUCUUUAACUAUAAUCACACUUAUACUCUAUGGCCGAGUUAAAAUACCAUACUUAUAUUCUGUGGCCAGGCA
rnacentral:lncRNA from 1 species